rnacentral:rRNA from 1 species
UAGGGAAUCUUCGGCAAUGGACGAAAGUCUGACCGAGCAACGCCGCGUGAGUGAAGAAGGUUUUCGGAUCGUAAAACUCUGUUGUUAGAGAAGAACAAGGACGUUAGUAACUGAACGUCCCCUGACGGUAUCUAACCAGAAAGCCACGGCUAACUACGUGCCAGCAGCCGCGGUAAUACGUAGGUGGCAAGCGUUGUCCGGAUUUAUUGGGCGUAAAGCGAGCGCAGGCGGUUUCUUAAGUCUGAUGUGAAAGCCCCCGGCUCAACCGGGGAGGGUCAUUGGAAACUGGGAGACUUGAGUGCAGAAGAGGGGAGUGGAAUUCCAUGUGGAGCGGUGAAAUGCGUAGAUAUAUGGUGGAACACCAGUGGCGAAGGCGGCUCUCUGGUCUGUAACUGACGCUGAGGCUCGAAAGCGUGGGGAGCAAACAGG